AUGGAGGAUGUGCAUGCACCAAUGGAUGUUCAGCUCGCACCACAAGAGGCUUUGCCCGCCCCUCAGGAGGCUGCGGGCAACGUGAAUGCCCUAGCAGAUGUCGUCGAAUACAUUUUUCAAUUUAUCACUGUUGUUCCCCACCAAGAUGAGGCAUUAAAGAGUACCUUGUGUAAGCAAGGAACAUCAAGAAGGAAGGUUAUCUCAAACCGAGGUCAAACUAUUCUCUCGGUCGUCAGUGAUCUCAUUGACCCUCAUACGGGAGCAUGGGACGAGCCCCUGAUCCGUUCUAUUUUUAAUCCUGUCGACGCCAUAAGGAUCAUGCAAAUCCCAAUUAAUCAUAAUGCAUUUGAUGAUUUUAUUGCCUGGAGCCCAGAUCGAAGAGGUAUUUUUUCAGUUCGUUCGGCGUACCGCUUACAAUGGAUUCAAUCUUUUCAGGCGCAUGCAAAUGUAUUGGCACGCCCAGCUGGAUCAAACUUAUCAGAAGUAUGGCCUACACUGUGGAAACUGCAGGUUCCACGUAAGAUUCAGAUUUUUUGCUGGCGUGCACUUCAUGGAAUUAUCCCCCUAAGAUCCAUACUCACUAAUAGACAUGUGGGUACCAAUGGCUCAUGUCCGAUUUGUCACCAGGACGCAAAAGAUGUACGCCAUCUGCUUUUUGACUGUACACAGGCAAAGGAAUUAUGGCUUCGACUGGGUAUACUGGAUAUUGUUGAAGAAGCGAAGUUAAUUGAUCGCUCUGGUUCAAUCAUACUCGAACACCUGAUCCUAGCAGACUCCAGACCGAUCCCUAUAAAGCCUAAUUUGCAUGUAAAGCAGGUGAUAGCGGUUGGGGCUUGGUACUUAUGGUGGGUGCGCCGUCAACUCACCCAUGAUGGAUCACCGCCACCUCCCUCGAGAUGGCCUAUUUCGGUCCUGGCAAUUGCAAAUAAUUUUCAUCAAGCCAACUUAAAAAUUCGCGUUGUACAUGAACAUAAAUGGAGCAAGCCGGAACCCAAGUUUGUGAAGCUAAACGUGGAUGCCUCUUUCCAUAUGGAUGAGGGUGCAGGAGCCAUUGCAGCUGUUCUUAGAGACAGUAAUGGUAAUUUUUUGGCGGCACAAUAUCGGUUUAUACCUUACGUAGCAGAUGUGGUGACAACGGAGGCUAUGGCUAUGCGUAAUGGACUAAUCUUUGCAAAUUCUCUGGGGUUCUCUCGAGUGGAAGCUGAGUCUGACUCCUUGACGGUAAUUGAUUAUUGUACUGGACAGACAAGAUGGUGGGAUGCUGCGGCGGCGAUCUUUGCGGAAUGUGUGGACGUGUCUUCGUCAAUCGGGAAGGCGAGCGUGCUCAAAAUCCCCCUCGACCCCGGCUGCAUCAGGCGACUCCGCGACCCCACCGCCGGCCUCCGCCCUCCCCGCACCGGCGACCUCCCCCUCCUCUCCCUUCCCUUCCCUUCCCCCAUAUCGAGAAGGGAGGCCAUGGUGCUCCCAACAUGGCUGUAUCUAGACCAAGCCCGUGGGGUUCCAGCUCGACCUCCUCGCAGCGACCACGGCGGCAGGAUCCGCGGAUCCAUGGCCACGGCGGUGCGAGCGCGCAGACGCAGCCUUCAGAAGAGAGGAGGCAUGUCGGCCAUGGCGUUCCCGCCGCAGCCGGGUCACUGGCUCCACCACGAGCUCCUCGCAGUUGUCAGUGACGACGGCGGCUCCGAACCCUAG
rnacentral:rRNA from 1 species